GUGUUCGCUUCGGCAGCACACAUACUAAAAUUGGAACGAUACAGAGAUUAGCAUGGCCCCUGUGCAAGGAUGACACACAAAUUCGUGAAGUGUUCCAUAUUAAA
ensembl:snRNA U6 U6 spliceosomal RNA